rnacentral:rRNA from 1 species
GACGAACGCUGGCGGCGUGCUUAACACAUGCAAGUCGAACGGAAAGGCCCUGCUUUUGUGGGGUGCUCGAGUGGCGAACGGGUGAGUAACACGUGAGUAACCUGUCCUUGACUUUGGGAUAACUUCAGGAAACUGGGGCUAAUACCGGAUAGGAGCUCCUGCUGCAUGGUGGGGGUUGGAAAGUUUCGGCGGUUGGGGAUGGACUCGCGGCUUAUCAGCUUGUUGGUGGGGUAGUGGCUUACCAAGGCUUGGACGGGUAGCCGGCCUGAGAGGGUGACCGGCCAAAUUGGGACGGAGAUACGGCCCAGACUACUACGGGACGCAGCGGUGGGGAAUAUUGUACAAUGGGAGGAAGCCUGAUGCAGCAAAGCCGCGUGCGGGAAGACGGCCUUCGGGUUGUAAACCGCAUUCGCCUGUGACGAAGCGUGAGUGACGGUAAUGGGUAAAGAAGCACCGGCUAACUACGUG